UACGAAGGUGGCAAGCGUUAUCCGGAUUAAUUGGGCGUAAAGCGUCCGCAGACGGUUUGGUGUGUCGCAGGUCAAAUCCUGAAGCUUAACUUCAGGGCCGCCUCGCGAAGCUGCCAAGCUUGAGACUGGAAGAGGCAAGCGGAAUUAUCGGUGUAGCGGUAAAAUGCGUUAAUAUCGAUAAGAACACCAAAUGCGAAGGCAGCUUGCUGGUACAGUUCUGACGUUAAGGGACGAAAGCGUGGGGAGCGAAUGGG
rnacentral:rRNA from 1 species